CGAUGCGGCGUGCUAUAAUGCAGUCGAGCGAACUGAUUAGAAGCUUGCUUCUAUGACGUUAGCGGCGGACGGGUGAGUAACACGUGGGCAACCUGCCUGUAAGACUGGGAUAACUUCGGGAAACCGAAGCUAAUACCGGAUAGGAUCUUCUCCUUCAUGGGAGAUGAUUGAAAGAUGGUUUCGGCUAUCACUUACAGAUGGGCCCGCGGUGCAUUAGCUAGUUGGUGAGGUAACGGCUCACCAAGGCAACGAUGCAUAGCCGACCUGAGAGGGUGAUCGGCCACACUGGGACUGAGACACGGCCCAGACUCCUACGGGAGGCAGCAGUAGGGAAUCUUCCGCAAUGGACGAAAGUCUGACGGAGCAACGCCGCGUGAGUGAUGAAGGCUUUCGGGUCGUAAAACUCUGUUGUUAGGGAAGAACAAGUACGAGAGUAACUGCUCGUACCUUGACGGUACCUAACCAGAAAGCCACGGCUAACUACGUGCCAGCAGCCGCGGUAAUACGUAGGUGGCAAGCGUUAUCCGGAAUUAUUGGGCGUAAAGCGCGCGCAGGCGGUUUCUUAAGUCUGAUGUGAAAGCCCACGGCUCAACCGUGGAGGGUCAUUGGAAACUGGGGAACUUGAGUGCAGAAGAGAAAAGCGGAAUUCCACGUGUAGCGGUGAAAUGCGUAGAGAUGUGGAGGAACACCAGUGGCGAAGGCGGCUUUUUGGUCUGUAACUGACGCUGAGGCGCGAAAGCGUGGGGAGCAAACAGGAUUAGAUACCCUGGUAGUCCACGCCGUAAACGAUGAGUGCUAAGUGUUAGAGGGUUUCCGCCCUUUAGUGCUGCAGCUAACGCAUUAAGCACUCCGCCUGGGGAGUACGGUCGCAAGACUGAAACUCAAAGGAAUUGACGGGGGCCCGCACAAGCGGUGAGGCAUGGUGGUUUAAUUCGAAGCAACGCGAAGAACCUUACCAGGUCUUGACAUCCUCUGACACUCUAGAGAUAGAGCGUUCCCCUUCGGGGGACAGAGUGACAAGGUGGUGGCAUGGUUGUCGUCAGCUCGUGUCGUGAAGAUGUUUGGAUAAGUCCCGCAACGAGCGCACCCUUGAUCUAGUUGCCAGCAUUUAGUUGGGCACUUCUAAG
rnacentral:rRNA from 1 species